rnacentral:rRNA from 1 species
GACGAACGCUGGCGGCGUGCCUAAUACAUGCAAGUUGAGCGCUGAAGGUUGGUACUUGUACCGACUGGAUGAGCAGCGAACGGGUGAGUAACGCGUGGGGAAUCUGCCUUUGAGCGGGGGACAACAUUUGGAAACGAAUGCUAAUACCGCAUAAAAACUUUAAACACAAGUUUUAAGUUUGAAAGAUGCAAUUGCAUCACUCAAAGAUGAUCCCGCGUUGUAUUAGCUAGUUGGUGAGGUAAAGGCUCACCAAGGCGAUGAUACAUAGCCGACCUGAGAGGGUGAUCGGCCACAUUGGGACUGAGACACGGCCCAAACUCCUACGGGAGGCAGCAGUAGGGAAUCUUCGGCAAUGGACGAAAGUCUGACCGAGCAUCGCCGCGUGAGUGAAGAAGGUUUUCGGAUCGUAAAACUCUGUUGGUAGAGAAGAACGUUGGUGAGAGUGGAAAGCUCAUCAAGUGACGGUAACUACCCAGAAAGGGACGGCUAACUACGUG